rnacentral:rRNA from 1 species
UACGUAGGGUGCAAGCGUUAAUCGGAAUUACUGGGCGUAAAGCGUGCGCAGGCGGUUUGGUAAGACAGAUGUGAAAUCCCCGGGCUCAACCUGGGAACUGCACUUGUGACUGCAAGGCUGGAGUGCGGCAGAGGGGGAUGGAAUUCCGCGUGUAGCAGUGAAAUGCGUAGAUAUGCGGAGGAACACCGAUGGCGAAGGCAAUCCCCUGGGCCUGCACUGACGCUCAUGCACGAAAGCGUGGGGAGCAAACAGG